rnacentral:rRNA from 1 species
GUAGUUAGCCGGGGCUUCCUCCUUGGCUACCGUCAUUUGUUUCGUCACCAAGGACAGAGGUUUACAAUCCGAAAACCUUCUUCCCUCACGCGGCGUUGCUGGGUCAGGCUUGCGCCCAUUGCCCAAUAUUCCCCACUGCUGCCUCCCGUAGGAGUCUGGACCGUGUCUCAGUUCCAGUGUGGCCGAUCAGCCUCUCAGCUCGGCUACCCAUCGCAGGCUUGGUGGGCUGUUAUCUCACCAACUACCUAAUGGGACGCGAACCCCUCCUUCAGCGGAUUGCUCCUUUGACCUCAUCCCGAUGCCGGGUCGUGGUCUUAUGCGGUAUUAGCACUUGUUUCCAGGUGUUAUCCCCCUCCUGAAGGUCAGGUUGUUCACGCGUUACUCACCCGUUCGCCACUAAAAUUUAAUACUUCCAUCCGAAAACUUACUGAUAAAAUACUCCGUUCGACUUGCAUGUGUUAGGUCACGCCGCCACGCGUCGUCUCUGCACGACGACGUAACAACUACGUACUACGUACGACGGACGGCGGUCGGACGGACGGACGACGACGAGAG